UGCGGCAAUUUAAUCGAAUAAGUGUGUCACGCGGCUCGUAACUCUGAUCGACAUGAACCGCACUUUUGUCGGAGAGCUGUUAAUCUUUCUGUUACUCACCAUUGGCAGCUUAGCUAGGGAAAAACCAUCAGAUACACUAUCUCUCACUGAUGGAAGUGUGUUACAGGUGAAUUUAACUAAUCUCCAUGAUUCUGUGCCAUACAUGAGACAAGUAUCUAUCAAAGCCAGUAGCAAUGCAACAUUUAAUAUAAUCAACAUUUCCUCCAACGCUUCUUUCAUUAUCUUUCAAAUUCAUACCUACCAACACAAUGUCACGCUGUCUUAUGAUAAAGAUUAUCUUAAUAAAAUUUCAAACAAAAGCGUAUUUGGAUCAAACAUUGGCCUUUUCUCUAGGCUAACCAAGAACAUAGUAACGCAACUAUUCGUGAAAAACGAUAAUGUCCACGACGUUAAUGGUCUACUCGCUGUUGUUGCUUACCACAAUAAAGCACCCAUACCGGGUGGAUGCAACAUGGAAUUCAAUACAGAGAUCGCGCCGUACGCGAGCGUGCAGACACUCGACACGAUGGUGAUCGUCGACGUGCAACCCGCCUCGGUACCGUUGAACGACAGCGCAAAGCUCACUUGCGAAAAAAAUCCUGUGGAAGUCGAGAUGUAUCAGAUAUUCCUGAAUGAGCAGGACUUCAGUAUCAAUAGUUAUUUUACGGCUAUCACAAGCAUGCUGACUGUUACGGAUAUUAAGGAAAAGGGAGUAAAGGUAGCGAAUCCGGUGAUUUCCUCUCCGAUAAGGCGAGUGUUCAGCGCGUACACCGGAGUUGGCUCCGUUUACGUCGCACUGGCUACUUAUGGGAAAUAUUCCGCGGCCUACGUGCCAUCAUUUUCAUACGCCUGUCAUCCCACAAUCGAUCCGGCCUCCUGUGACGUUUUACCCAAUUUACUUUCCAAGAUCGUCUGCGCUUUCUGUUUCUUCGUCGGAUUGUUAUCAAUAUGCUUCGGGCACCAUCACCUUAAAGCCGAUAUGGCACUGCCGGUAUUUUUCACUGGAACCGUGAUUGGUUACGCUGCAGUGGGGGAUAUUUUAAUCGCCAUGGGAAUAGGCCUGUGUUUCACGAUAUUCUGGUUGCUGUGCCUGUCGUACCUCCCAAUUGUCUUUAGCGGGAUAAUGUUUAACAUGACGCUGGGCUUCCUCUUCGCGUGUAUCGCUUACUUUCUGUCCCCGGGUACGGAAGAGGUUCCCGGAAAUCCAUUUCCAAACGAAAGGCCGGUAAACGUAUCCGGAAAUAAAUGCCGUAUCCGUGCACGCCGUUCGAGGAAAGAUCACAAGGAGUGUAGUAAAUUAUAGGAAAAUAAUGAAUCGCCGGCUUAAAAGCGGGCGAGAGGAGUAACGCGAAAAGAAAAGGGGGUGAGAGGCAGAAAGAGAGAUGGAGAGAGAGAGAGGGAGAGAGAGAAAGGGAGAGCUCACCGCCCCCGAAGUUAGUUGGAGUUUGGCGAAGGGAUGAAGCAUAGUCAGAGAGUCCCCCUGUAGCUUUUAUCAAUGUUGUUCGCUCAUGUGGAAACUUCGUCUGCCGAAUCCCCCUAUGCAGCAGUGGCGGGCAUUCGCGUUACCUCCUACCUUUCUCACCAUAACCAUCCUCCAUCACUAUCGCAUACACACGCAUAGACACUUACACGAUAAAAAUCAUCACGUAGAGAAAAGCUCACACAUAGACCAACUCCCUGCGCGAACUCCCACGAACCGAUCUAACCAGCUUGAAAGAUUCGCAUUUACCUAAUUGUGUCCCUUGUAUUUAUUUAGCUCCGGGACCUAUUUAGAUUACACGGUCUAUGCAUGCGUAACUGCACGGAGCAUCGGUCCCGAUUUACCCUGUCGACAGAUGAUCGACUUGGUCACCCUCUCUCUGUUCACCGUGUUCGUCUUUGGCAUAGUUUGAUUACAUUCUCCGUGGUUUAUGUAAUUAGCGUGAAGAUAUGGUUACAACGAUUCGUUUAUAAUUCUGCAAAACGACUGGAUAUUUUGGUCGCUGUUCAUGACCUUGGCCCUUAGUGUGAGUUUGAUCAUGACUAUAAUAUUUCAAUUUGGCUUUGUCAUCACGUGUUCCAUAAUCGCGUCCUUCAUGGUAAUCCUGC